UAUAAUUUUUUUGAACUCAGUGGCAUACCUUCAAUGGAGAAUCCUUAUCUUUUUAAUGGAGAUUUUGUUGAUCGUGGAUCCUUCUCUGUGGAGGUUAUUUUAACUCUCUUUGGUUUUAAGGUUUUAUAUCCUAAUCACUUUUACAUGUCCCGUGGCAAUCAUGAGUCAAUAACAAUGAAUCAAAUGUAUGGUUUUGAAGGAGAAGUAAAGAAAAA